CCCGAGAGGGCAUCUUCCGGACAACCAGUUUGGUGGGCAGCGAGCGCCUUCGACGGGGCUUGCAUCCUUUCCCUUCCCGGCUUGGGAGGCGGAGAGCGUUUCCGUUCCUCCCCAGGACACUGCUAGAAGCGGAACUGAUAGCCAGGACCUGCCCAGGCGCUCUGGAAUGCUGUGGGUCUGGGCUCCUAAGUACAUGCCGGGCACUGGAUCCUGCAUCCCGGGGCCCUCGCCGUGCACACAGCGGUGCCAGGGAUGCAGCUUCUGCUACCACGAGGAGCCAAACUGGGGCUUGGCCGCUGGGUUUGGAGGACACUAGCGUCGGGGGUGAGGCUGAUAAUGAUGCUGUCUGCACUGUCUGAACGUUUACGGAGGCCGUGGCCAGAAUCCGCAGAACAGACGGAGUUCACCCACUCCUAUAGAAGGGACAGAGGCCUGGAGGGUUCAAGCGCACUGCCUCGUCUCUGUGCACGUUAGAGUGUAAAUUCCACCAAAGCAGUGAUUUCUGUCCAUUUGGUCCCUUCAUAUCUCCAGCACCAAGCACACAGUCCCUAAGAACGUGGACUUGGAUUUUUUUCUUCACUGCUGUAUCCCCAGAACCUAGGACACUUCAGAAAUAUCUGUCGAGUGAACCAAGACACUCCCGUAAGUCUGUUGCACAUCUAAUCCCUUCUUGGCGUCUGCUUCUCGGAAGAUGAGAACCACACAGCCCCAUGGAGCUCCUUCUUAGGGAAUUCAUCCCCCGUCUGCAGAAGACCUCUGUGACCUUCAUCGACCAGGCCUUCUUAGGCAUCCUGAGAAGGCUAUGCUCCCUCCGACCACAGGGCCUUUGCACCCACUGCUGCCCUUGUUGUGGACACUGUGACCCUCCUUCCCCAUUAGCUCCUACUCAUUCUCUGCAUCACAUCUCAAAUGGCACUUCCUCAGGGAAGCCUUCCUGGACUCCUUCCUAUGCUCUCCCAACACCAUGUACCUCUCCUUCAAAGCAUUCCUCAAGAACUCCCAGUUCUCAGCAGAGCAGAGUUGCCCUGAAGAAAGCUUGCAUUUCACAGCCUCCCUUGCGGCUGACCAGCAGGAAGUGUGGGCAGUGGCUCUGAGUUCCCUGCAAAGGGAAGGGCAGCCUCUUUCCAAGUCCUUCCUCUGUGCUGGCUGGAAGACCACCCAAGCUGGGCGGACGUCUGCCCCAACCCUGACACAAGGCAGAGGGGCUCCGAGGCCCUGCUCCUGGCCCUCCGGAAGGUCGCGUUGAGGAAUCACGUCAUGGUGGCGGCAGAGCCAGUCACAGCCAACAGACCUUCCUCGUCACCCAGUUCCGGCCGACUUACCCACCCACCAUCACGGGCCCGGGAGGGAGCUUCAUCUGCCUCCCGCAAGGGGUCUCUAGCAGCCUGACCAGGUCCCGCUUAGACCCACCACGUGCCGAGCCUACGCUGGGCACUUCACAGCCACAUGCCCUGAGACAGGGCCCUCUGCACGCCGGGCCUGGUGCUGUGACACACAGGCCAGCCAUGACUGCCUCAACUCUUUGCAUUUUACAGAAAAGGAAGCUGAAACCAGAGAGGUAGAGCAACUCACCCAAAGUCACACAGCACAGGCAGCACAAAGGCAGAGCUGGAACCCAUGCCUCCCUCACUCCAGACGCUGUUCCCUUUCCUUGUCUCGGGGCUGCUGAGCUCGGCUGCUGGACACUGUGCAUUCCUGCUCCACCCACCGCUGCUCCCAGUACAGCUGGGUGCAGCAAAGGCGGACCGCAGGCCCACACCACCCUGCAGUCCGCCUGGACGAGCGGCUCCACUCACAGCCCCAAGUGGCCAGUGCAGCAUUUACACGGCCUCGAUGUCACAGAAAGGUGUUCUCCUGGAAGGUGGCUGCCGCUCACCCCCACCCCUACCCCCCGGCAAAGAGACAGAGGAGGAAGGAGUCCUCUUGGGAAAGAGUGUAAUGGACACGCUGGUUGGACGGGGCAGGAGCCCCUGGGCAAAGGUUCAGUGGGCAAAGGGCAGGAAGGGGGCCCAGCGAUGUGCUGCGCUCUUGAAACACAUGAUUUUAUUCAACCCCCAUAACUCUGCUCCUCCUAGGUCCAUUUUACAGAUGGGAAAACAGAGGCAUAGAGAGGUCACUUACUCAGGAUCACACAGCCAGCAGGAGGCGGUGCCCCGGUUCCACCGGAAAAUAACAAAGUAGCGGGAGUCUGGGAGGUCUGCUGCUUCCAGGAGAAGUCUUGAGACCCUGGGGUUGGGAGGGCAGGGGAAGGUCUAGAGAGGUUCCCCAACCAGGUGGGGAAGGGGUGGGGGCAGGAAAGGGCGGAAGCACAGCCCGCAGCUCUGGAGGAGCCUGCUGUACCCAGGCUGGGCAAGUGGGGAGCAGAGACCAUGGCUCUGCAGGUCAAGCAGUGGCCGUAGAGCCGGGCUCCGCCAGGGCACUGCGGGGCGACAGGACGGAGGUGGCUCGGAGACCAGAAGCAGCGGCGUCGUGAAUAAGGGGGGUCUGUCCUGCUCCACAUGCGGAAACCAGGCUCCCCGCCCUGGGCGCUGCCCUCCCACCUGGUGACUCACAACCACCUACAGGAGCCCCGGCCGCUGGGAAGGGACGGGGGGAGCCGGGAGCCCAGAGACCUGGGUUGGGGCCCACCCCCCCGUGGGUCUGUUUUCUCCUCGGCACCGAGAGUUUGGCCAAAACCACGUCUGAGGGGUUGCGUUGGGAGGACUCUGAACCCACAGGUCUUCUAAGCAGCUGAAGGCCUUGUGAAAUCGGGCUGCAAGCGGCUCCCACACCUGUGGCUGAGGCCCGAGGCGGGCGGGUGAGGGGCGACAGCGGCGCCGCGGGGUGAAUCUAUGACGCCGGACCGGCCACUGUGAGACAGGAGCUGUCAGAGGACCAGAGACAGCUCCUGAAAAUGGAAGAACGUCAGCCUCCUCACGAAGACCCAGAUGAGCCUGACCCGCGGAGUGGACACCCCUGAGAACCGAAUCGAAGGUCAGAGGGCAAGUGUAAAAGUCCACAGCCGAGCUCAGUGUGCACUGGGCGGCGAUCGGGUUCACGUUCAGAAACAGAGGCGGGUGGAAACCGCCCCCCGCCCCCGCCGGGCCCGGGCCCUCCUGGAGGCGGGUGUGCACGGGGUGACGGGGGUUAAUGAGUCACUCUUGCCCGGCUAAAGUCCUCCAGGGUCAGCAUGUGCAUUUCAGGCCAACCGAAGCCUCACCACCCAUCCCCUCUCCCCCGGCGCCCGUCCCGAGCAUCCAGGGUCACUCACUGGCUGUCACCCGUUCAGGGCAAACAGCAAGGAACCAAGGGUGGGGCUGGGAAGUGGCUGCCGAGGGGCACACGCCGGCCGGCUUCCCAGAGAGGGGCGUCCGCGCAAGAGUCCUGGGCUGCCCUGAAGGCCGGAGUCGGGAGGGAUUCCUCCUCGCUUCCAACCAGUGAGGGAAACACUGGCUCAUGUGAAAAACAGACGUAAGCAGACGUGGAAACGGCCUGUCCACGCCAAGGGAAAUUUCUAAGCUCACCACUUGAUCAAAGAAACACAGAUUGAAACAACAUACCCUUUCAUCCAAUUGACAAGGAUGUUUGAAAGUUAUAACACUGUUGGAAGGAGGUGAAAUUGGAACAUUCCCUGAAAGCAGCUUUAUAUUACAUACGUCACUCGAGUCAGUAAGUCUCCUUUUAGAACCUGAUCACAAAGAAAUGAGCAGAUUUGCAGUCAGAUUUAUGUACAGACUUCUUGCCAACAGUACUUACGGUUGAGAAAAAUUGGAAACCAACUAAAGUCCAACAAAAGGAAAACUGAUAAUGCCCUGUCUGUGCAGUGGAAUAUCAUUUAUCUAUUUCAAUCAGGUUUUGAAAAGACUAUCUGAUGAAAGUUAAAGUGAAAAAAAGCAGGAUGCAAAACUCUAUAAAGGAAUUACUCUAGAUAUGAUUAUGUAAAGAAAAAACAUAUUCGCAGAAAAAAUUAGAAAUAGAUAUCAAAGUAUUCACAGUGACGGUUUUUUAAAAUAUUUACUUUGGAGUGAUGGAAUUACAAUUUAUCUCUUUUUUAGCAUUAUCUCUUUCACUUUUCCAGAUUUUCUAUAAUGAAUUUAUAUUACUUCUAGAACCAGAAAAAAAUAUGGUUUUGUUGAGUGUCUGUCUGCGCAACUUAGUAUGUUAUUUUUGAAAUAGUUUUUUUGAUUAGUAUAAAAGUUAAUGUUCUUACUGCCCAAAAUAUCAGGAAAUACAGGCAAGUAUAAAAAAAGAAAAAAGAACACUCAUAAUCACAUCAUUGUUAACAUUUCUUGCUAUAUUACAAAAAUGGAAACAUACACUGCUUUGGAGCCUUUUUUAAAAAUGUGGCUAAAAACACAUAACAUAAAAUUACCAUUUUAGCCUUUUAGGUGAACAGUUCAGUGGUGUUAAGUGUAUUCACAUUGUUGUGCAACUAUCACCACCAUCUAUUUUCACAAUUUUUCUUCUUCCCAAACUGAAGCUCUGUCCCGUUGAACACCAACACCCCCCCUCCCCCAGCCCCUGGUACCCCCU